GGUAACAUAGUUGCUUGCAACUGAUGACGACCGGCGCACGGGUGCGUAACGCGUAUAGAACCUACCUUAUAGUAAGGGAUAGCCCAGAGAAAUUUGGAUUAAUACCUUAUAGUAUCGUUUAGAUGCAUAUUUAAAUGAUUAAAGAUUUAUCGCUAUAAGAUGGCUAUGCGUUCUAUUAGCUAGUUGGUAUGGUAACGGCAUACCAAGGCUACGAUAGAUAGGGGUCCUGAGAGGGAGAUCCCCCACACUGGUACUGAGACACGGACCAGACUCCUACGGGAGGCAGCAGUGAGGAAUAUUGGACAAUGGAGGCAACUCUGAUCCAGCCAUGCCGCGUGUAGGAAGACUGCCCUAUGGGUUGUAAACUACUUUUAUAGAGGAAGAAACCAUUCCACGUGUGGAAUGCUGACGGUACUCUACGAAUAAGGAUCGGCUAACUCCGUGCCAGCAGCCGCGGUAAUACGGAGGAUCCAAGCGUUAUCCGGAAUCAUUGGGUUUAAAGGGUCCGUAGGCGGUUUAGUAAGUCAGUGGUGAAAGUUUUCGGCUCAACCGGAAAAUUGCCAUUGAUACUGCAAGACUUGAAUUAUUGUGAAGUGGUUAGAAUGUGUAGUGUAGCGGUGAAAUGCAUAGAUAUUACACA
rnacentral:rRNA from 1 species